GGUCCAGUGGUGUAGUGGUCAUCACGUUCGCCUCACACGCGAAAGGUCCCCGGUUCGAACCCGGGCUGGACCA
rfam:Schistosoma mansoni strain Puerto Rico chromosome 4, complete genome